UACGUAGGGUGCAAGCGUUAAUCGGAAUUACUGGGCGUAAAGCGUGCGCAGGCGGUUAUGUAAGACAGGUGUGAAAUCCCCGGGCUUAACCUGGGAACUGCAUUUGUGACUGCAUAGCUAGAGUACGGUAGAGGGGGAUGGAAUUCCGCGUGUAGCAGUGAAAUGCGUAGAUAUGCGGAGGAACACCGAUGGCGAAGGCAAUCCCCCUGGACCUGUACUGACGCUCAUGCACGAAAGCGUGGGGAGCAAACAGG
rnacentral:rRNA from 1 species